rnacentral:rRNA from 1 species
GAUGAACGCUGGCGGCGUGCCUAAUACAUGCCAGUCGAGCGAACGGACGAGAAGCUUGCUUCUCUGAUGUUAGCGGCGGACGGGUGAGUAACACGUGGAUAACCUACCUAUAAGACUGGGAUAACUUCGGGAAACCGGAGCUAAUACCGGAUAAUAUUUUGAACCGCAUGGUUCAAAAGUGAAAGACGGUCUUGCUGUCACUUAUAGAUGGAUCCGCGCUGCAUUAGCUAGUUGGUAAGGUAACGGCUUACCAAGGCAACGAUGCAUAGCCGACCUGAGAGGGUGAUCGGUCACACUGGAACUGAGACACGGUCCAGACUCCUACGGGAGGCAGCAGUAGGGAAUCUUCCGCAAUUGGCGAAAGCCUGACGGAGCAACGCCGCGUGAGUGAUGAAGGUCUUCGGAUCGUAAAACUCUGUUAUUAGGGAAGAACAUAUGUGUAAGUAACUGUGCACAUCUUGACGGUACCUAAUCAGAAAGCCACGGCUAACUACGUG